UUACAUUGAAGCCUAGCGAUAUGUAAGUUAGUGGCGGACGGGUGAGUAACGCGUGGGUAACCUGCCUUGGUACUGGGGGACAACAGUUGGAAACGACUGCUAAUACCGCAUAAGCCCACGGCUCGGCAUCGAGCAGGGGGAAAAGGAGCAAUCCGCUUUGAGAUGGCCUCGCGUCCGAUUAGCUAGUUGGUGAGGUAAUGACCCACCAAGGCGACGAUCGGUAGCCGGACUGAGAGGUUGAACGGCCACAUUGGGACUGAGACACGGCCCAGACUCC
rnacentral:rRNA from 1 species